GUACUUACCUGGACGGGGUCAAUGGGUGGUCAAGAUGGCCCAUGGCCUAGGUUGGCGACCUCCAUUGCACUUUGGAGGGGCUCCUGUCUAAGGUCGGCCCAAGAGGUCGAACCUACGUCAUAAUUUGUGCCAGUGGAGGUCUGCGUUCGCGCGGCCUCUU